UGGGGCGUGGCCAAGUGGUAAGGCAACGGGUUUUGGUCCCGGCAUUCAAAGGUUCGAAUCCUUCCGUCCCAG
rnacentral:tRNA from 1 species